rnacentral:tRNA from 3 species
AAUAGGGGCAGUUCGCAUAACUAUCCUAUCAAGAUGGCCCCUAU